CGUGAACCUAAAAGCUCAUCAUAAAGACCGAAUCCUUACAGUAAUGCAUCUAUUGUUUAUACGUCUUAGUUUCAAAAUAAGCGCGAGAGACUGCAUUAACGCGAAGCACGUGUAUUUUUAAUUUGCUGGCUUUUGCCGAAAAACUGAAGAUGGUUAGAAGCUAUAAAAGAAAGACACAACGAGGAACAGGUUGUACAAAAAAAGCUAUUGCGGCUGCGAUUCAGAGCAUAAACUCCAACCUAUUAAGUCUAAGAGCUUCCUCAAAAAGAAACUCUAUUCCAUACAGUACUUUACAGUGCUAUAUGUCUGAUCGUCAUGGCAAAAAAAGCCAAACUGGAGGGUGUU